UAUAAACACAAUAUGGUCAGGCAAGAUGGA
rnacentral:piRNA from 1 species